rnacentral:rRNA from 1 species
GACGAACGCUGGCGGCGUGUCUAAUACAUGCAAGUUGAGCGAUGAAGAUUGGUGCUUGCACCAAUUUGAAGAGCAGCGAACGGGUGAGUAACGCGUGGGGAAUCUGCCUUUGAGCGGGGGACAACAUUUGGAAACGAAUGCUAAUACCGCAUAACAACUUUAAACAUAAGUUUUAAGUUUGAAAGAUGCAAUUGCAUCACUCAAAGAUGAUCCCGCGUUGUAUUAGCUAGUUGGUGAGGUAAAGGCUCACCAAGGCGAUGAUACAUAGCCGACCUGAGAGGGUGAUCGGCCACAUUGGGACUGAGACACGGCCCAAACUCCUACGGGAGGCAGCAGUAGGGAAUCUUCGGCAAUGGACGAAAGUCUGACCGAGCAACGCCGCGUGAGUGAAGAAGGUUUUCGGAUCGUAAAACUCUGUUGGUAGAGAAGAACGUUGGCGAGAGUGGAAAGCUCAUCAAGUGACGGUAACUACCCAGAAAGGGACGGCUAACUACGUG